UGCCAUGAUCUCUACAGGUUUUAUUUAGCUGGCAUGUCUGGUGGGUGCAGCAGUUCUUCCAUGGUUAUUUGCAAGAAAGAAUAUAUACCAUCUCAGAGGAAUUCUAAGGACAGAAUUCUUUUCAGGAAAGGAAAAAAACCUAAUAUUUUUUAUUCCGUCUUCUUCUCUUCAGAAAAGGUCUUGACCUGUCAUGACUCUACAACACAAUCUAAGACUUGUAUCGGGACCAAAUGCUACUCACAAAAUCAAGAAAAUACCAUUGGUGACUUGGGGAAACAAUACAGCUUACAAAGCUGCCUUCCAUCAUGCACAGAAAGCAACAUAAAAUUCACAUUUGGAGAA